rnacentral:rRNA from 1 species
GACGAACGCUGGCGGCGUGCUUAACACAUGCAAGUCGAACGGUAAGGCUCCAGCUUGCUGGGGUACACGAGUGGCGAACGGGUGAGUAACACGUGGGUGACCUGCCCUGCACUUCGGGAUAAGCCUGGGAAACUGGGUCUAAUACCGGAUAGGACCAUGGUGUGGAUACUGUGGUGGAAAGUUUUUUCGGUGUGGGAUGGGCCCGCGGCCUAUCAGCUUGUUGGUGGGGUAAUGGCCUACCAAGGCGGCGACGGGUAGCCGGCCUGAGAGGGUGGACGGCCACAUUGGGACUGAGACACGGCCCAGACUCCUACGGGAGGCAGCAGUGGGGAAUAUUGCACAAUGGGCGGAAGCCUGAUGCAGCGACGCCGCGUGGGGGAUGACGGCCUUCGGGUUGUAAACUCCUUUCACCAUCGACGAGGGGUUUCUGACGGUAGAUGGAGAAGAAGCACCGGCUAACUACGUG